GGAUCACCAGAGGGGAAAAUACUCGGAGCUUUAACCUCGGCAUUGCGAUAUACAGUACAGCCGAGCACAGCGCGGGAGAGGCGGAAAAUGAGCCCCGUUCUUACACGGUGGAAGAGGAGGGUUAAAUAAAGCAGAGGAAAAAGAAGAUCCUAUUUGCAGCAUUUUUAAAAGUUCUGCUCUGGCAAAGGCCGUCUGAAGGGGAGGCCCUUGCAGCAGGAAUGCGAGCAGCAGCAGCAACCUUUUUUUUUUUUUUUUUUUUUUCCCCUUUCUCAGAGUCCAGCCUCCCCCUUGUGAGCGACUGGAGCAAUCUGGCUAAGGAAGAGGAGGAGGAGGAGGAGGACGUGAGCUAGCGAAACGCAGAGGGCUAGAGCUGAUGAUGAAAGAGAGGCACGGCCCUGCGUGAGCAGGCUCGUUUUCAUCACAGGCAGCGGAGAGAGGGAGAGAGCGGCGCCCCCGCGCCCCCCACCCCGCGCCUCGCACCCCGCCACGCAGGGACACCCGCGCCGGCCCCGCCGGCCCCGGUGCGGGUGGGGACGGCCCCGCCGGGCGGGGCGGGGGGGGACGGGGACCAGGGAGAAAAAGAGCAACCGGGAGGAAGGGCGCUGCGCUGGAAUGUAAAUGCACCCACGCUAUGGCGAGAUGCUUGACAGUGCAGCGCGGCUAAUGAAGCUUUUAAUUGGGGGGGGCGGUCCUAUGGAAAUAUCUUCCGGGAUUAAACCAGAAAGAAGGCUCCUCUUUACAUUUACACAUACCUAGAUGUCUCUCUGUAGCAAAGCAGCCCGCAAGGAGCACGAAACUGCAGCACACACACAGAAGGGAAAAAAAAAAACCCAAACCCACAGAGCUGAAAAUGGAUAUCUGAAAAACUAAAUACUGUAUGUGACAAAAAAACUUCGUGAUUUUGUUUUCUCAUGCCCUUACUUUUAAACCAGCUGCACAGCCCAAGCUCAGGCUGCUUGGCCCUUAUAACUAUCUUGGCACCGAGUCAAAAGCUGAUAAGCAUUUGGGCGAGACAGCUCAACUGCUGUGCUGGAAGAAAAACAGCUGCCAUGAUUGCUGUUUGAUUGAGAGCGCUUACACACACUCACAAAAAAACAUAUCGGACUGCAAAGACGGGCCACAAAUGCCUGAGGAUUCAGCUUCAGAGGAUCAACACACAUUUCCUUUUAAAAAAAAAAAAAAAAAAAAAAAAAGAGUUUUAUAUAGUUUCUCCUCCAUUCCCCCUCCCCUUUUUAAAGAAAACGUACUGCAUCGACUUGCUUUUCUUCUUCCCAUCCCCCCUCCAUAACCUCAAGCAAACUCAAGGAAUUGUGCCAAAAGUCCCGUUGCUAGUUACCCAGUGCAUUUUUUUAAACGUCCCUUUGAUACUUCUUUCCCUCGUGCUUGCCAUGGAAUAUGCAAGUAAGAUAAUCUUUCCAUUACUUACAAGAAGUAAUUAAAAGCUAAAAAGAACUUCUAGCUCGACAUUCCUUUCUCUUUUUCUCUCUUACGGGGCAAAAGGAGGGAAACGAGGGGGAGAAGGAUAUUUUUUCUCUUUGCCGAGUCCAACAUUUGGCUUUUUCCAUUUGUGGCAGAUCACUGUAACGCUAUUGUAAAACAACUUCCUGCCCCUUUUGGCUCACGUUCCAGAAGCUGCUAGGCUAAGUUCAUAGCACAAACUUUUUUCCCCCUUGCCGAAGAAGAGAGACAAAAAAAAAAUUUCCUGCAAAUUAUUUUUCCCCUUUUCUGGCUAAUGGACUCACAAGGUGAAUUUAUUGCAGCUCUUUAAGAAUGUUACACAAGAGACGUCGGUAUCCCAGCUGGAUAAUUCAUGGGCUGAAAAGAUGUAUUCCCACAGAGAGAUACAUUUAAGCAUUCCAGGACCUAUACACAUACAUUUCACAUUUGACAGAAAGUACAGAAUACACAGAAAGGAAGUCAGAAAAUUUGAAGGGACGACUGCCCCGCUCCCAAGCACAGGCUGCGAGCAACGCACAGCAUUAGGCAGCGUGCAUCAGCAGAAGUUCAAACUCGCCCCACUACCAGCAGCUGCAGUGGUGGAGUGACGGCUCUGGGACUCCAAAGCAGACGAAGCAGCAGCAAGGCCUCAACUCAGAGCAUCACGUCUUGAAAGGAACAGUUUCUGUUUGUACAGACAGACCUUUACAUUAUAUUACCUUUACAUUACAUGGCAUGUAAAAUGUUUUUUAAAAAGGGGGUCAUUCCAGUGUUGCCAGCAAAUCAGAAGUUUAUUGGAAAAAAAAAUAUUUAUAAUUUCUCAUUUUGUUAUUUAAAAGAUGAAUCAGCACCUAUGCAGAUUAAAUGUAUUCCAUAAUUUAAUAAAGAUUAUUUUAAUGAAGUUUAUUACAACCUGACAAAACCAAUACAAACACUCUUAUAAGGAAAACAUCCAACGGAGUAUGCUAUUUACACUAACAAAGUACAACACGAACGAUAUCACUGGCGUCACAAAAAAAAAAAAAAAAAAAAGAGGGGGGGGACAAAUUGUGAAAAGCUGCUUCCAGGCUUAUUCAGUGAACUAUGUUUUUCAGUUCUUUAAAAACACUUCCUUUUCAGAAUACUGAAAACUCCCAGGGGAUAUCAGUGACUAAUCCAUGGAAAUUUCAGGUUUCAAAUUUAACCAUUUUUUCCUAGGGCAUAAAUACGUUUUACUGGAGAUUUUAGAUGGAUGAUAAAAAAGCAUUUAAGAGCUGACCUUUUAACAUUUCAAUUUAUAUUCCCAGAAAAUGUUAUCACCAGAAAUGUAAUGCAAUGAUUUUUUUCUUGGUCCACCAAGAAGUUCAAGAAAACUGCACAGAGUUUUUCUAGUGCAAACAACUAACUUAGUAAGAAAAUUGUGUGGGGAAAAAAAAGAUAGACAAAGAGACUUUUUGCCUCUUGGCAACAGGACAGUGAGACUUGGUUCAAAAUAGAGAAUCCUCCCUGACUCAAUUAGAAAUACAUCUGCUUUUCAAAAACUUCUGAAGCCAAAUACCAAAAUCAAAGUUGUCAUCUAAGGCCCAUAUUACUUCCGUCAUUUAUUUGUAAGAAAAUUAAACAAUUCCCCCUUCCCCCACCAACUGUUUUAACAAAAUCACAUACUUCGUCUCUUCUGCAUGUGUGUGCUGUGUGCAAUUGUGUGUAUGGAAGACCUAUACAUGAGAUAGAUAUGUAUGUGUAUGCAUGCAUUUACAGUUUCAUGUUACAACAGCCCAGGAAGGAUGCAUACUAUUAGAGUAAGACUGUAAAUUAAUAAUCAGUUUACAUAAUACUGCUCAAUAGCAAACACAACAUUUUAAUAAUGAGCCUAAAGAUUACUAACAAAGGGUUACAUCUGAAUUAUAACAGGAAAAAUCACAGAACACAUGGUUCAGGACUUUUUUUUUUUUUGUGAGUUAUACAAAUAAAUGCAAUUUAAAAAAUGUUAAUAUAUCUAAAAUACAGCAUUAGAACUAUACAAAAGAGGUUGAUCAUAACAGCACUACAUCAGCAGUAAUUUUAUCCCUUCAACAUUAUCAUAACAGCUUAUUGAUACAUCCGGAGAACACGUACAACUAACUGCUCCGUCACUACCUGCAUGUAAGACCUCGUUCCUGUACUAGAACUGAAACAAUUAGGGAGACUGACAGAAGGAUCAGGGAUUUUGUCUGAUAAAGCACUGCAUGCACAGACCAAUGUGUUGUUCCAGCACUCAGCUGGCAGUGCUCUGAGUUUUCAGCACAGAAGGGAAAGCAAAUAGAUACUUAAGAUUCAUUGUGGGAACUUACAAAACACAAUUUUGCUUUAAUACCGUACUUUCACACAUGCUCAUAUAGCAAAUGGGGAUCCCGUACAUACAGGGGAAAAUUUUAAUAGGAAUAUCAGAUUUACUGUAUUAGUGUUCAGCUUUUACUGGCCAGUUAAUAGCCAAAACCUUAAUCAGUCUAAGAAAUUUAUUGGAAAUCUAUUGGUAAAAGGCCAUUUUGUGCUGGAACCACUAUGUUAUUCCAGCUUUCGUCUUUGCCUUCCCCUAACAGAAAACGCCAUUUUGAGGCUGUCAUGCAUUUUUCUUUCCAAAGCGGAUAAUGCUAGUGGAAAGCACAAGGAUGGUAUUCUGGUACCGCAGAAAAAUAUAGCAAUGCAGUUCCACAGAGAAGUAGUAUUUUUAUUUUUAUGGGUGCAGCUGAAGUCCGUCUUGUAUUUUCUGCUCACCCUAAUAUUAAUUUAAAAACCACACACACAUAAAUGGAUGAUAUGCAGCUAUCUCUAUCCAUCUAGCAUUUUGAAACUUUCACGUAUUUCUUUUUAAGUAUUCAAUGGGAAGAGGCAGAAGAUUUUUUACCAGAAGACAAAUCGGGCAAAUAAGCAUUUACUUCAAAUGAAUUUUGCUGAGUUACACUGGGCCUAAAUAUAUAUCUGGCAGUCCAGUGUUUAGAAAAAUGUUUAGCUUCAAAAAGUAAAGAACAGACUCAGUAAUUUCCGUAGUAUAUCUGAAGCCUGAGCAAUCCCAUGUUCUACAAGACUUUUUUUUUUUUUCCUCUCCUUAGAUAAACUGCUAUAUUGCAAAUCAUUGUCCAAAGGAUCUAGGAAGUCAAUAGGGUAACAGAAAUGGCUUAAUAUUAAAAGUGGAAUAGACAGGUGUACAACAGUUGCUUAAUAGAGGAUGCUGUUAAAUAUGAAUGGUUCUUACUUAGUUUUCACUGCAGGGGGUCACAUUUGGAAACAAUUUUGAUAAAGCAAAAUUAGAAAAAUAAUACGGGAGUUCAUAUUUCUAACUUCAGUAACAUGUUUGUCUAGGAAAUGAAAAAGGUCUUAACCAACAUUAAGCUUUGCAGGUACACUAGAGCUGGAGAAAUCACUGCCAGAAAUAGUAACGCUGAGGAAACAAGUUCACACAGAGAAUAGACUACUCUCUGCCCAUUCUAUCAAUACAAACUUUGCCGGGGUGAAGCUCUUUUUUAAACAUUAAAACAAAAUGAAAAAAAAAAAAAUCCUGAGAGGUUUGAGUCAGGAACAUUCAAAGCAAAAAAUCGCCAAAAGUCUCCACUCAGCAAGAAGCUUUCAGAAGAGGCAUUUCUACUAUGAUAUCUUAAAUUAUCUUAUUGCAUGUUGAAAUAUUUAACAUACACCAAGAAAAAAAGUUCUCGUUUCAAGCAGGUGCUUACUACAGUUAUUGUAAGGUUCCAAUAUGUUUUUGAAUAAAAAGAAGUAUUUUAAAAUUUGAA